CCAUCUCUCCCCCUACCAACCAUGAUACAAAUACACAUCACUAAUCACCAUAAUUUUUAUAAACAAGCCACGACACUUUAUUUACAUAUAUUUUCAAGAUGGGAUUCCUUUUGGGUCGGUACAACAAAAAGGAAAAGCUAGGACUCAGCCACGUCCAGCCUAAAACCUCAAAAAGAACCAUCGACCCUCAACAUCACACGUGCAC
rnacentral:lncRNA from 1 species